UCUCUAACCAUUCGAGUCCUUGCUAUGUAUGUUUGCUAUUGUAGGUUCAGGUUCGCUAUUUGGAGUAGGAUGCACCUAGAUGAAAUCUAUCGACCUUGGUAGAAAAGAAAAAGUCCUAUGCAAUUCGUAAGACUGAGUUCAGAAAAUCUCUGACCAGAGUAAGUGUGAAUAUUGAAAAAGUAUUUUCACAAAAUUUACAGAUAAACUCAAGUCGAGCCAAUCUGGCAUAUGACUGACGAUGGG
rnacentral:lncRNA from 1 species